CCUACGGGAGGCAGCAGUGGGGGAUAUUGCACAAUGGGGGGAACCCUGAUGCAGCGACGCCGCGUGGGUGAAGAAGCGCCUCGGCGCGUAAAGCCCUGUCAGCAGGGAGGAAAAUGACGGUACCUGAAGAAGAAGCCCCGGCUAACUACGUGCCAGCAGCCGCGGUAAUACGUAGGGGGCAAGCGUUAUCCGGAUUUACUGGGUGUAAAGGGGGCGCAGACGGCGAUGCAAGCCAGGAGUGAAAGCCCGGGGCCCAACCCCGGGACUACUCUUGGAACUGCGUGGCUAGAGUGCAGGAGGGGCAG
rnacentral:rRNA from 1 species